AAAGAAGUGGCGAUAUUCCUUACAAGGAUUCAAAUGUCACACGCAUAUUACAACACUCACUUGUUGGGAAUGCUCGUAGGGCCAUCAUAUGUACGCUUAGUUCAGCAAUGAGUCACUUUGAACAAUCUCCCAACACUCUCUCAUUUUCCACCCGUGCAAAGGAAGUCACUGACAAUGCCGAAGUGAAUAUGACUUAGCAGAAGGGGCGCUCCAUGCAUUUCGCUUGCAAGCAUUAGACCAGUGUACUAUUCUGAUCAGUUGGCCUACUCAGUUCAUCCUUUUGCUGGUUUUAGCUUCUUCUUUUUUGUGUGCAUGUAGGUCGAGUUUCAUGGAUUGUGUAAGAAAAUUCAUA